UUUUACAGUGGAGUUUGAGAAUGUGACUUGCCGUUCGUUGUUCUUUUGUUUUUGUUUCGAUUUCGUUCCUAUUAGCACGUUUUCGGUAUGAAUUUUGAGGUUUGAUUUGAUUUGCAAUGUUGUAUUUUGUUAGAUCUGAUUGUUUACACGGUUAAAUUUAAGAAGAACAGCAG